CUCUGAUGUUAGCGGCGGACGGGUGAGUAACACGUGGGUAACCUACCUAUAAGACUGGGAUAACUCCGGGAAACCGGGGCUAAUACCGGAUAAUAUUUUGAACCGCAUGGUUCAAUAGUGAAAGACGGUUUCGGCUGUCACUUAUAGAUGGACCCGCGCCGUAUUAGCUAGUUGGUAAGGUAACGGCUUACCAAGGCGACGAUACGUAGCCGACCUGAGAGGGUGAUCGGCCACACUGGAACUGAGACACGGUCCAGACUCCUACGGGAGGCAGCAGUAGGGAAUCUUCCGCAAUGGGCGAAAGCCUGACGGAGCAACGCCGCGUGAGUGAUGAAGGUCUUCGGAUCGUAAAACUCUGUUGUUAGGGAAGAACAAAUUUGUUAGUAACUGAACAAGUCUUGACGGUACCUAACCAGAAAGCCACGGCUAACUACGUGCCAGCAGCCGCGGUAAUACGUAGGUGGCAAGCGUUAUCCGGAAUUAUUGGGCGUAAAGCGCGCGUAGGCGGUUUCUUAAGUCUGAUGUGAAAGCCCACGGCUCAACCGUGGAGGGUCAUUGGAAACUGGGAAACUUGAGUGCAGAAGAGGAGAGUGGAAUUCCAUGUGUAGCGGUGAAAUGCGCAGAGAUAUGGAGGAACACCAGUGGCGAAGGCGGCUCUCUGGUCUGUAACUGACGCUGAUGUGCGAAAGCGUGGGGAUCAAACAGGAUUAGAUACCCUGGUAGUCCACGCCGUAAACGAUGAGUGCUAAGUGUUAGGGGGUUUCCGCCCCUUAGUGCUGCAGCUAACGC
rnacentral:rRNA from 1 species